rnacentral:rRNA from 1 species
GAUGAACGCUGGCGGCGUGCCUAAUACAUGCAAGUCGGGCGAACAGAUGAGGAGCUUGCUCCUCUGACGUUAGCGGCGGACGGGUGAGUAACACGUGGAUAACCUACCUAUAAGACUGGGAUAACUUCGGGAAACCGGAGCUAAUACCGGAUAAUAUAUUGAACCGCAUGGUUCAAUAGUGAAAGACGGUUUUGCUGUCACUUAUAGAUGGAUUCGCGCCGCAUUAGCUAGUUGGUAAGGUAACGGCUUACCAAGGCAACGAUGCGUAGCCGACCUGAGAGGGCGAUCGGCCACACUGGAACUGAGACACGGUCCAGACUCCUACGGGAGGCAGCAGUAGGGAAUCUUCCGCAAUGGGCGAAAGCCUGACGGAGCAACGCCGCGUGAGUGAUGAAGGUCUUCGGAUCGUAAAACUCUGUUAUUAGGGAAGAACAAAUGUGUAAGUAACUAUGCACGUCUUGACGGUACCUAAUCAGAAAGCCACGGCUAACUACGUG